GAUGAAGAACGCAGCGAAAUGCGAUAAGUAGUGUGAAUUGCAGAAUUCAGUGAAUCAUCGAAUCUUUGAACGCACAUUGCGCCCCUUGGUAUUCCAUGGGGCAUGCCUGUUCGAGCAUCAUUUGUACCUUCAAGCUCUGCUUGGUGUUGGGUGUUUGUCUCGCCUCUGCGUGUAGACUCGCCUCAAAACAAUUGGCAGCCGGCGUAUUGAUUUCGGAGCGCAGUACAUCUCGCGCUUUGCACUCAUAACGACGACGUCCAAAAGUACAUUUUACACUCUUGACCUCGGAUCAGGUAGGGAUACCCGCUGAACUUAAGCAUAUCAAUAAGCGGAGGA
rnacentral:misc_RNA from 1 species